rnacentral:rRNA from 1 species
AGAGUUUGAUCAUGGCUCAGGAUUAACGCUGGCGGCGUGCCUAAUACAUGCAAGUCGAAUGGUAGCAAUACCAUGGCGAACGGGUGAGUAACACGUAGGUAACCUGUCUUUAAGCCGAGGAUAACCAUUGGAAACGAUGGAUAAUACUGGAUAGGACAUUUGAAGGCAUCUUUAGAUGUUUAAAGAUUUACCACUUAGAGAGGGGCCUGCGGCGCAUUAGCUAGUUGGUGAGGUGAAGGCUUACCAAGGCGAUGAUGCGUAGCCGGACUGAGAGGUUGAACGGCCACAAUGGAACUGAGAACGGUCCAUACUCCUACGGGAGGCAGCAGUAGGGAAUUUUCGGCAAUGGGCGGAAGCCUGACCGAAGCAACGCCGCGUGAACGAAGAAGUAUUUCGGUAUGUAAAGUUCUUUUAUUAGGGACGAAAAGACAGAUUGACGGUACCUAAUGAAUAAGCUCCGGCUAACUACGUGCCAGCAGCAGC